CAAAUUCUUAAAUCAAGCAGCAUUAAUAAACAUUAAAAAUAAACAGUUUUGUUUUGGGAAAUAAGAUGUCCAAAUUAAGUCAGUGCCAGCGGCGCAAGUAAAAUAAUCUUGUUUUGGUUUGAAAUAAAAUUUUCAAGGGGAAUUUUUUACUUGCUUAGAAUGUGCUUCUUGGUUUAAGAAUUUUUGGAUACUAGGACCAAAACCUGUCAUCAACUUUUAUCAUCAACCCAAGUAAAGUCAUAUAAAGAAUUGUUGAAAUCUUUAAUAUAAGCAACAUUAAUCAUGAUACAUGCCUUAGAAAGAACAUGUUCCCCUUUUUUAAACUCAGAGCCACUUGAUGGAAAGUAGAAUUUCUCAAUUAUGAGCUUUAUAAAAAAGAUGAUUACUUCUCAGCUGACAUCCUUAUUACUUGCCGCUAUCCAUCAAACCACAAGAAUUCACCAUUUUAAUCCAUCUAAAAACCUUUUGUGCAGGUUAAGAGUUAAGAAAUUAGUACUUUCAUUGUGCUUACAAGAGACAGUAAAGACAUGUAAAAGUGGAAAAAAAAAAAGGUUUGAACAAUGGACCUUUUGGGUUAGUUUGCACGAAAAUAUAAAAGUAGAACAGCUGUUUUUAAACAUGAUAUUAGCAACAACAUGAUUCACAUGAGCACUGAAUCAGCAUAUUCAGAUUCUGUCUGAAGCAUCACAUGACACUAACUGGGUCUCCAUCACUCUGCAUUAUAGCGCACUUUGAAGUAUCUCAUGAGAAAUGAGUGACGUGGAUGCCACAUUUAGAAUAAAAAUUACUUCAUUAAACAAACCUGUUUUUACAUUAAUUUGAGCUGGUUUUGAACUAAUUUGAUUGUGAAUAAUGGGAGAUGGAAAUGCAUUUGCCAAAUAAACUCUGACAUGGUAAACAUUACACCCAUGUGACCAAUCAGAUGUCUCCACUAUGCUUGCUUUGUUUACAUUUUUUUUUUUUUAGGUUACCAAUACUACAGUCAGCCACUCUACCAACCUGAUGUAAAUGUACCAAAUACUUAAUUGGGAUUUUCUUUGUGCCAACACUUCAAAACAUUAUUAAAUUAAAAAAAAAAAAACACACAAAAAAAAGGUCACAUUAGGAUGGAAACCCAGCUACUGAAGCGAUGAUCAUACCAAUAAAAAGAUUCUUCAUUGGAUUUACAAAAAAAAAUAAGGUGUUUGCAAACCAUUUAUGUAGGCUGAAUUUAAACAAAUUAAAUUUAGUAAUGCAGAACUUAAUUUGUUUGUUUAAAUUCACCCCAUAUAAAUUCUUUGCAACCACUUACCUUAACAAAAUUGUAAAUCUAACAAAGUUUUUUUUUUUCUGUGUAGGAAUUUUCUGCUUACAAUAUAAUGUGUCUGCCAGAGGUGUCACUGUCCAGGAGAGUUUAGAUAUGGAAAAGACAGGUGUGGCUUCCUGGUUUCCCUUGGGAUGAAAUUAUGGAGAGGAAGGGGAGGGUGAAGGGAUGACAGGAACUGUCGGAAUGACUGAGGGCAGCUCAUCCCCCAGAGACGUCUUUCUCCCACAAUGCCCUGACCCUGAGAUCUAUGUGUGGAAUUCUCUGCUCAUUUAUCAGUGUGGGCCUGCUCCUCUCCCUGUGUGCUCUAAUUUUUUCACAGUCCCGAUCCUGGUACUGUUGCACCCCAAACUACAUCUGUGUAAACCUCAGACUCACACACAACCGAGCAAACCUACAGCUGUGGAAAAAUACUAAAAUAAGAGACCACUUGUCUUGAAAAAAGUUAUGCGUUUUUCUCUUCAAAUUUAACACAACACAAAAACUUAACUAUUUAAAUUAAUUAAAAGCUGUACUUUUUAAAUUUUAAGUGUUAAGUACUUAAGUACUUUCAGCCUGAUAUGUUUUUGAGUACUUUUUUCCAGUUUUUUUCUGCUCCUUAUAGUACUAGUAUUAAUUUUUGUUCAUUUUUAAUUAUCAAUAUUAAUGUAAUUUGUAGUUUUAGUUUAAUCUGACAUUUAUUUCAUUAUUUCAUUUAUGUAUUCAUUAUAAGUAUUAUUUUAGAAUUAAACCAUUUAUUUUUUAUUAUUCUGUAAAGCUUUUUCUCUAAACAUUUCAACUGACCCCAGCAUAUUGUGGCCCCCUGAUUAUUAAAGUAUGCAUAAUACCACUGUCAACAAGUUUAAUCUAUGAAUUAGUUGUUUUAUCAGCUAUUAAGCAUUUUUACUCAUAAUUAAAAUAACAAACACAGGCAUGAGAACAGUUGAUCAGCUCCCUCUUGUGGACAAUAAGUGAAUGUGUAAGCAGCCGUUGUAUCUGAUCCUGAUUUUAACCUGAUUGAGAACACCUGAAGCAGCUGAUGGAGCUCUACAGCACAGGUUUAAUGCUACUGAUUUGCAUAAACAGAUUGUGUUGUUUACAAGUUUGCAUUUGAAAUGUGAAAUAUUAAUAAAGAUCUUAAUGACCCUCA